rnacentral:lncRNA from 1 species
GCCAAGGCUUACUCAACAAGCGCUAACUCCAUAGUCGCCAAGGUUUACUCAACAAGCGCUAACUCCAUAGUCGCCAAGGUUCAUCAAAUAGGCACGAAGUCACAUCGUCGCCAAGGUUUAUACAAUAGGCGCUAACUCCAUAGUCACCAACUAUCCCAUCUACCUAAGUUCUACCCAACAUUUUCGUAGAUAUAAAUACUUACACAGUUUAAAUCAUUUUACACUUGUAUAAAACAUCAACUCCACGCCCAUCUCAAAUAGACAAAAAAAUGCAUACACACAUAGCACGUAUUUCAUAGCAAAUACUUCAUAUUUAUGUGUUAGAAGAAAGUAACUACACCCUCACACAUAUAAACAACAAUAUACUUAAUACACUCAAACCAUACUUGUAUUAUUAUCGUGUUUAUGAAAGGUAGUAUACACUCACUUGAUCAGAAGAUGAUCAGACAGCACUACGGCUUGCAGAAGUAGUAUAUCUCCGCAGAUCUGGAAGAUCUUCACAAAAAUUGAACUUCUCGCGGGCAGAGCUUCGGCUCGGGAAUCACGCUCUUCGGGAUUCUCGGGGCUUUGGAUCUUUCUUCGGGACUCGGGAUUGAUACCGGGGCUUCGGGACACUUCUGGCAUGCAAAACGAUGUAAAACGGAAGAGAGAAGAGAGAAAAAUAGCAAUUGAGCCGGCUGCCCUCGCAUCCUAUUUAUAGCAGGCUGGAGCCUCGGAUUACGCGGGGCGUACAGGUGUACGCGGGGCAUACGCGUCCGAAACGUCACUGCAUGCGUCAUCCGAAGAACUCGAGUGCGAAGGUCAUCAUGCUUCGCUGUACNACUAGUACGCGGCGCAUACUUCGGAUGAGUCCGAUGACUCGUCUGCAGAUAAUACCGGGAUUUAAUAAUUAAAUUUAAUUAUUAAUUAUUUAAUAAACUUCGAAAAUUCAUAUCUUCUUCAUACGAACUCCGUAUUCAACGUUCUUUAUAUCCACGCGUAGGUGGGAGUACGCUCUACGACUUUCGUUUAGACUCCGUCGGCUAAUUUUAACUUUUAUUAUUAUUUUUUUUUAAUAGGCCGGGACAGAAAAUUUCGUUAUAAAUUCAUAACUUCUUCGUUUGACGUCCGUUCUUGCCUAACUUUUCGUCGUUUCGCUACUAACAACGAGAUCUUCGAUUCUCGUUUAGAUCGCUAAGGCUAAAUAUCACUCUAACGUAAAUUCACUUUUUACGUCAUUCAGCGUUGUGCCGGUUCUGUCGCGAAACUUCAACAAGUCAUAACUUCUUCGUUAUAACUCGGAUUUUGGCGUUCUUUAUAUGCACGGAAACCUUGUAACAUAUACUACAACUUAGUUAGGAUUAUUCAUCCUAAAUAAUCUUCUAUCAAAAAGUCAUUUUUGACGCUUAUUGUCUCUAAAUUGACUAGCCCUGAUCUACGGGCGUUACAAUUAUCUCCCCCUUAGGAUGAUUACGUCCCGGAAUCAUCAACGAAAUAGGAUUCGUAUACUGACUCCAUAAGUUAUCUCUCCAUUCUAAGUAAUAACCUUGAUGCUCAAUCCUGCAUCUGCUCUUCGUACUAUGUUGGACUUUCGAUCGACAUCUUUAAGUUACAAAAUAAAUCCUUAUUGUGGACUCCUUCUUCUUCUAAGGAUAAAUACAUUCAUUUAUCUAUUGUAACUAACCGAUGGGUCGUGCCCCGAUGACCUCUCAUCGUGGUCGGACUCAAUUUAAUAUGACCACUAGGGUCGGAAUAACCAUCAUCCUACUAGUCAUUACCGAAACAAGGGUAAUGACAAACUUGAAUAAAACGAAAUCAAUUACUAGCUUCUUGGUAACCUUGUGCCUUUCCCUGAUCCGAGCGUGAGUCAUGUGCUUCCAGUAGUAUAGAUCUCUACUACUAUUCACACCUACUCAUACUCGUCCCAAGUAUUGUCUCGCAGUCCCCAAGUCCUAAAAUCACCAAACAAUUUAACACAUACGAAUGUGUCCAAUUAAUCAUAAAAAUUUUCCUAGACUCUACUAGGACUUCUUCCAUGCAUAUUUUCUAUCAUCAAUCAUACUUCAACUCGAUUGGUGAUGGAAAUUCUAGAUUAUGGGACAACUUCAAGAAUUACACCAAUCGUUCCAUCAUCCUGCCAAUCAAAGGUGUACUUCAGACGUACCGUACUCCUCUAAACGUUCCGUUAUUUUAUCAAACAUAAACUAAAGGCAAGACACCACUCUUACGAUAUCUUCCGAUAGGUGUCAUUCACUAUCAUAAGCCUUUCAUUUCCUCCAUUUACUCAAUUCUCUACGAGUCUUCACCAUAACGUUUUGUACACCCAAGCAGACGUUCGGUGCACCGGGCGAGAAUUUAAGAUAAGAAAGCUUUAUUUACGAUAGACGUAUAAAUAUCCUUAUCACUUCGAAACGUUUACAUGCUAGUUCUAAUAUCGUAUCAAACGCUUAGAAUCCUAAACACGUAAGGUUUCCAGAUCUGGUCGGCAACAGACCAUAGAUCCAAACAAACAAUUUCAUAUAUGGCAAACAUAUAACAUUUAGCACAUAAAAGCAUUUUAGGCAUCGUUCCUAAAAUAUACUAGUGCUCGUGCCUAAAAUAUGGUAGACACUCAUCUCACAAUCAUCGCUUAGCAUUCUAAGUUUAAGUCUAGAAAUCCUACAAAUUCCUAGUUCGCUUAAACUAAUGCUCUGAUACCAACUGUGACAUCCCCAAUUUCACGGCCAGAAAAGACCGAUUUGUUUAUGCUUUGUUUUAAAAAUCAGAGUAAUCGUUUAAAGAAAACUGUUGCGGAAUUUGUUCCCAAAAACAAAAAUAUGAUAACCAUUUAUCCAGACAUUUCUCAAAGAGAAUGUAUUUUCAUUAAAUAAUAAAACCUUGGGAUGUCAUGUUCGAUACAGACCAAAAGCAUAAACAAUAUAAAAUAGACCUUACAAUAGUUAUUUGUAACUACUGAUCUAUAAUCCAAAAUCUCUCGUCAAGUCCGCCAACUUAUACCCUUGUGCCAUUACCUGUAAUGAAAAGAAAACUGAGUGGGUCAGGCUUGGGAGCCUGGUGAGCAUAUAGGGUUUUCAACCCACAAUAAUACAUUUAUUAUAUUCAAUUAUCAAACAACCAACCCAAAUACCCAUCCCCAUAUCUACUUUAUUUUCUCAAGGGUUUACCCUAAGAAUCCACUAUCCUUCAUUCAUUCAUUCCUAAGGAUUUACCUAAGGAAUUGGCACGAAUUCCAUUGCUGCCAAAGUUUAUCUAUCAGGUACUAAAUCCAUGGUUAUCAGACGCUAACUCCAUAGUCGUCGGGGUUUACUCAAGUGGCGCUAACUCUAUAGUCACCAAGGUUCACUUAACAGGCGCUAACUCCAUAGUCGCCAAGGCUUACUCAACAAGCGCUAACUCCAUAGUCGCCAAGGUUUACUCAACAAGCGCUAACUCCAUAGUCGCCAAGGUUCAUCAAAUAGGCACGAAGUCACAUCGUCGGCAAGGUUUAUACAAUAGGCGCUAACUCCAUAGUCACCAACUAUCCCAUCUACCUAAGUUCUACCCAACAUUUUCGUAGAUAUAAAUACUUACACAGUUUAAAUCAUUUUACACUUGUAUAAAACAUCAACUCAACGCCCAUCUCAAAUAGACAAAAAAAUGCAUAAACACAUAGCACGUAUUUCAUAGCAAAUACUUCAUAUUUAUGUGUUAGAAGAAAGUAACUACACCCUCACACAUAUAAACAACAAUAUACUUAAUACACUC